rnacentral:rRNA from 1 species
GCUUAACCGGAGAAGUGCAUCGGAAACUGGGAGACUUGAGUGCAGAAGAGGACAGUGGAACUCCAUGUGUAGCGGUGGAAUGCGUAGAUAUAUGGAAGAACACCAGUGGCGAAGGCGGCUGUCUAGUCUGUAACUGACGCUGAGGCUCGAAAGCAUGGGUAGCGAACAGGAUUAGAUACCCUGGUAGUCCAUGCCGUAAACGAUGAGUGCUAAGUGUUGGAGGGUUUCCGCCCUUCAGUGCUGCAGCUAACGCAUUAAGCACUCCGCCUGGGGAGUACGACCGCAAGGUUGAAACUCAAAGGAAUUGACGGGGGCCCGCACAAGCGGUGGAGCAUGUGGUUUAAUUCAAAGCUACGCGAAGAACCUUACCAGGUCUUGACAUCUUCUGCCAAUCUUAGAGAUAAGACGUUCCCUUCGGGGACAGAAUGACAGGUGGUGCAUGGUUGUCGUCAGCUCGUGUCGUGAGAUGUUGGGUUAAGUCCCGCAACGAGCGCAACCCUUAUUAUCAGUUGCCAGCAUUCAGUUGGGCACUCUGGUGAGACUGCCGGUGACAAACCGGAGGAAGGUGGGGAUGACGUCAAAUCAUCAUGCCCCUUAUGACCUGGGCUACACACGUGCUACAAUGGACGGUACAACG